UUGAGGGACCUUAUGGGUUGGAAAAAAUGAGCUGCCUAGAGUACUCUGUGAUGUACUAUUUUUGACUUUUUUGGAUAUAUCUAUACUAGAAGGGUAUGAGCCAUCUGUAGAAAGAAAAAAAAAAAUUUCCAACGGAGUACAGCACAUUGGACAGCACAAUGCAUAGGGGACCUGGUUAGUCAUGACCUCCUACAAUACAUGGACAUUUGUGACCUUACCACUCCUGUUCAAUCUCUAAUUGCAAAGAAUCCUGAUUUCACUGUGAAAGAUCAGACGAUCCAUGUUAAUGGUGAUACCUCAAGUAGCAUGCUAAUUUUUGGCAGCACAAUUCAUCCGGCAGCUGUUUGAGCCAGCCCACUGCCCAUUUGCGUGCUUUGCUUGCUGCUUGCAAAUGAGAAGGUAGACCACAUCCUUCUUGGGUUGCAUAUGGGUCCAGGGGUCAAGUCUACGUGCCAACGUAUGGUACUACUGCCACUUAGCAAAAUUAUAUUCCCUCUGACCAUCGAAUUCUCGGUCUUGUUCUUGCUGAUCAAGCAAGAAUUAUACCUUGGUACACCACAUCAACAAUGCAUCAUGCCAAUCAAUUUUUUUUUUUUUGUAGGCUUCAUUCAUCAUUCAUUAUGCGGCUCAUCUUGAAUUGUUAUCUCCUCACCUCAUCUCGAAUUGUUCAUACGUUGCAUUGCUGACGUGGUGCACCUAAUGCAAGGUACAAUUUCUUCCUGAUCAAUAGAAGGACACCUGGCCUUCUUGCCAUGGGCUUCCUGCACCAUCAACACUUGGCAUCACCAUCAUCUCUUUCAUUAAUAUUUUCACCACCAAUUCAUCGUUCAGCCAGCAAAAGAAUCUAAUGCGGGGCUGGAGCUCCAUGGUCUGAAGUUCAAAUAAGAUGAAAACCCCCCGCCGGAACUACUUUAUCUAGAAGUUUGGACCAUAUCUCCAACUUUAUCUCAUGCAUACAUUCCUAAUCCAUUCUUUUCCGUCAUUCUUGUGUGGGCCGCGGGAAGACUUUUUUUUGGUGUCAACUUUUGCUUUACCCACCUGAGUUCAAAGAUUUGCUCUUAGAUUUGCGAAUCCUGACCUUAGUGGGUGGUGAUAUGAUGCAGAAUGGCUAUGCUUUUUAACAAAGGGAUAGACACAGUGUUGAGUUUUAGAUCCGCGGAGUAAGAUUUUCAGGUUUGGUGAGAUGGCUGCUGUCGGACAAAUGGACGGGUCGGCAUCUGCCGGCAGGAGGGUGUGGUCAAAGAACUAGAAGCGUGGCGAAAGGCCUGUUCUUUGGAUUCGGAUUCCUUCAGUAGAAAACAACCAGAAGGAUAGGCUUCCGGCGAUGGGGAGGGAACUAAGACGGUGAUGCUGAAAAAAAAGAAAAGCCUUUUGGCGACCGACCCUUGCCGACGUUGCCUUGCUUGCUUUGUUAUUCUAAGUACAAAGAGGACGUUGUUUUUUAAUCGAGAAACCAGCCUGUAAGAGCUGUUAGGUAUCCAAAAAUCCAGCCCCCGGCUUGUUUCGUCCAAGUUUUAAUGUCAAAAAGUAGACGUAUAUGCUGGCGUUUGUUCCCAUCACACAAAGAUGCUGACCGAAAGCAGUCAUGCCUGUCUAUUUAUAUAAAACAAAAAAAUCAAAUAAUACAUUCUGAUGCUUCAGUAAAAUUUUAAAAUAAUAUUAGAGCAAACUAGAUCUCAUAAUUAUGUAAAAACUUGUGCGGACAUAUUUGUAGUUUCAUAUCGGCUAAGACCGCUCCAUCGAGAUGGAAUAAAUUCAGACACACUUUGCUGUUACUGCACUAUUCCAAAGUGGGGCUAGGUUUGGAGUGAUAAAAGGGGGUAUUGAAUCUUAUCCAACGCUCUUCAUCUAAUUUACCUAGUAAUUGCACUAGGUUGAGCUCUUGGACAUAUAUUAUACUAUGAAAGACAGAUACUAUACUCUGAAAAAUGAAAACAUUGGAGUUAGAUUAUUUUUUCCCCUCCCGUUGGCUGUGAAUGGUGUUAUUGUCAAAUAUGGUGGUUAUUCAUCAUUAAGAUUUGAGCCUGAGACCUUUCUUAACUUAGAGAAGGAUACAACUCAGCUGAGCUAACAGUUAUUUUCAAGUAAUUUUUUCUUAACCUGAGAUCUUAGGGUUUGCUGUGAGCGGCAGUAGGGAAAGUUUUCGCUCUAGAGCUUAGCCAAUGUGCACCCAUUAACUUGAGAGCCUAAAUGGUUUGGAAUAUUAGUAGCAUGCAAGAUGUAAGGAAGCUGCUAUGGUUUGUCAAGAGUAGUAAUUAAGUACAAUAAAGGAGUUUGAGUAUGAGCUAUAAACACAAUAGCUAAAAAUUGCGGAGUAUUGCAAAAAUGGUGCUAGUUAUCAUGAUCACUGAUGCACUCGAUUCUCUUUUCCCUUCGGCGCCAUGGUAAUGCAGACUUCGUCGGCAAUGUCGAUGGUCGAGGAUUUUUUUCUUUUCUUUUCUUUCAAGAGAGCGUAAUUUGAAAAUUUCAAGUAAUUUGCAAGUGUAACUCUGGGUUAAGUUUGAUAUAAAAACCUGCAAUCAGACAUAUGGCAUCUUCCGUAUCUGCUGCAAUGUGAAAUAUAUGCUUUCUGGACAAACCACCCUGGCAAAGAAAAGUUGAAAAGUAUCAAAGAAUCAUAUGGAAAAUGUGCUGUGUGCGGAGAGAACUGGCAUGCUACUAAACAAGCAUGGCAUCAAAAAAAGAUGUAAUCGUCUGGUGGCUCAAAAGCAAAGGAUCGAUUCUGAAGCAGUUUAGCCAGCAGGAAAAAAAAAAUGUGCUUCAAUGCAUAACCAUGAUGGUGAUGUCCAGCUAGAAUGAUUGCAGAAAACCUUUCAGCAAAUCACCAAGAAGUUUGGAUUGGAUUUUACAAUGUUUAUUCGAAUGUUCAUAUAUGAUAUUACAAAUAUGAUUUGUGUUAGAAGACCUGGGGCUUUAUUCAGCUGAUACUUUACAAGCAUGGCUAACCUAACAAAGAUUUCAUGUAAAAUAGUUAAAUGAUUGAUAUAAAAUUUGUAAGGCUAAGCGCAAUACAUUGAAUUUUGAGAUGUGACUUGGAAGAACAACGCUGGCAAGGCGCUCUAAUUUCAAAUAGUAAAAUGAUGAUAUUUUUGAUCCAAAGAAACAUGGCCAAGUGGGUCAAGAGUAAUCGAACUACAAAUGUUCAUUCUUCUAAUACACGUUAAAUAGUGUUGGAAUAUAAACAAAUCUACCAAAGCUACUCUAAUUCUCUUCUUCUUCUUUUUCUCUUCGUUAUUUUGAUAUUUGUUUAGGUUCUCUCUUCGUAAGAUCCUGGGCCUAUAUACAUAGAGGAUCAUAUUUGUUUUAAAUGAUAUCGGAGGUCAGAUUUGUUUAAAAUCGUGACUUCAAAUUCCUUCAUACUGAUUAUUUAUUUAAUUAAUCUGAUUAUCAUCUUGACUCACUUCAACCAUUCUGACUAUCGAUUCAUUUCAGUCAUUCUUGUUUCUUUAUAUGCAAAAUCCAGGCUGCAUGUAAAAGAAUGCUAACUCCAACACUUAUUGUUGACCGUUUUCUUAUUAACUUAAAAAAAGGAAAUUUAAAUACCAUUGUUUCUCCAAUAAAUCUAAACAAUUACUUCGAGUGAAUGAGAGGAUAACUUGAAUGGUACUGCUUCAUCCAUGAUGUUGCAGCAAUUUUCUUGUUCUUUUAUUGAUUUAAUUUGCUUUUCUUUCAUUUUCUUGCUAAAUCAAUUUGAGUAUAAAGAGUUCUGGUAAAAACUUAGCAUCUGUUAAUAUCGAAAACCAAAAACCUGAUCCUAAAACAACAUGAUUGCCCAUGUUUCUUUUUGCGGCGUUGAGAAAUAUGGAUAAGAAUGCACAAGGGACUUACGUAAACUUUUUUCUCUUUUCCGCUUUCUUGGCAAACAUUGUGGUGGUACCUUCUACAUUACUUGUUAGUUGUUACCUAAUGGACUCAAAAAUCCCAAUCUUUAAGAUCUCAUUUGGUUUGUGGAAACAAUUUUUCCUCACUAGAAUAAUUUUUUUAAAAAAAUGAAUUUUAAAAAUAUGAUGUCUGAAAAAAUAGUUUUGACAUAUUUGGUUGAUCAUGAAAUUGUAGCACAUUUCAGAAUAGCUUAUAUUUAGUUAGAAAAGUAGUUUUUUCAUGUCCUAUAUUAUAUAGAAAUUCUAUUUUUAUGAGAAUACUGCUUUUCUAUCCUUGUUCUUUGGAAACUCUAACUAAAUAAGAUGUCCUUUUUUUUUUUCUGUUGAUCAUAUUGUUCUUUCUUCUCUUUCUUGCUAAGAAAACAAGUCUUAAAAAUAGUAGGGUUUUGGUCCUAUUCAAAACGUCUCCGACUCUUUCCGAGACCACCGAAUCAGCCUCGUGACGUGCCAAGGUGUACAAGUAUCGAUUCUCGCAUAGGAGAAAGCAAUGCAACUAUAGAACAUGGUUGGAACAAGAACAAUGCAAGACGAGAGCACUUCAUUAGAUGCCGCCGUGAGGUGGAUAACUGAUUAAAUAUUCUGAGCUUGUAGGUCUGAUUCUUCACAUGAGUGAACUCCUUCUUGUUCCAUGAAUGUUAUUGAAGCAAAAGCCUACAACGUAACUUUCACUGUUUCACAUGUAUAAUAUUAUCCACCUUUGAUCAUUCCCCAACCAGACAACCUUUUCCAGUCCAUUGUCAAGCUUUUUAAUUAAGCUCUCUCUCUCUCUCUAAUGCUCAGGUCAGCUGCUUUCCCAGAGUUUUUUAUAAGAAAGAGAAAAGCUAUAACUAGGGGCCCAUAAUUAUUACCAAAAAUUUUCUUUACAAAUGACUGACCAUGCGCAAUAUAAAUAUUUGCGCAAUUCUUGAAAUUUCUGUAGUUUAUAUGUGGGGUUUGGUUAAAGCAAAUAUUUAGUAAUCCAUUUAGGCCUUGGAGCGUUCUUCUUUGCAUGCCAAGAUACAGAUAAGACAAAAUAAUAAAUUAAUCAUAACUUUAGAUAGAUGUGAGCGUGUAAAGAUAUAUUAAUAAGUUAAUCAUAAGUUUAGAUGGAUGAGAACAACUAUUGAAAAGGCUAUGCACCAAGUUGUCUAUAUAAAUUUCAUUGCUCCACUUUUUAGAUGCGUAUAUGGCCGGUCAAAUUAGCUGUAUUCAUGAACUCUAUGAAACACCCACUUGACUUUGGAUAUUAUUUCUAAGGGUCUGAUGUUUUGUUAUUCCAAGAGAUAAGGUGAUAAUGUUUUCUGAGAAGAUGCGCACUCCAUGAACCAUCAGAGGAAACUUUUCUCUACUCCCUGACCCAUCAUUCGCGACAAAAAAGUAUUUGCACGUACACACAAACAGGAAACAAACAAAUGAAUCACAAAUCCAAGUUAUCAUUGUAGAUCUUUUUCCUAUCUCUUUCUUUUUUUUGAUUUUUUUUUUUUGAGAAUGGAAGAUGUUAGAAUAUUUUUGGAAUCACCGUAAAAACGUGCAUAUUAUUUUUCUUUAUUAGCUUAAUUUUGUAUCAAUCAGUAUUAUUUUUUUAUUAGUAUAAUUUUGUUAAAAUAAUUUUAAGAAUCACAUAACAAUUUGUAUCAGUAAGUAUUAUUUUUUUAUGCAUGAUGUUAUAUCAGUCUAUAUUAUUCUUUUAUAUUAUAUACAAGUAUAUAUAACUUCUGAAAUGUACCGAAUAUGACAGAACCUGCAAAUAUUUUAACAAAUAGAGAUCGAGGGUUGGGAAGAAGGAUAGGCUGACAUACAGAUCAAAACAAAAGAUGCUCACGUUUCUAUGCAACAAUAAUUUGAUGCGAGAUAUUAAUAAUUCACACAAGAUAGUUCCCUAUAAACAUGGCAUGCAUUAUUUAUCUAGAUAGUAUCAUGUUAAUUAUGGGUUGGACUUGUAUGAUGACUCUUCGAAUCAUAUUAUUAUGCGAGUAAUGCAAACAAAACUAAUCUCAUUAUUUAAAUUGUGCUUAUUUAAAUAUUUGAUGAUGCCAAGCUCAUCCUAAAUAUUUCUUGGAAUUUUGUUGCUGACUCCCAACACCAUGAUAGCUACACCAUAAAUGAGCGUAAUGGCUAGGUUCAGCUCGAGCCACGAGGGCUUAAAUCAAAUCUUUUUAACAUUUUGCCGCUUGUAGGACCUCAGAAAGUUUUUGCGAGAGUAAGGGGUGGAAGAGUAAUAAUUCACCACAUUCGAAAUUCCUUAUUGGGUGGCCCGUGACAACCAUGCACCCAUUCUUGAUCCCGAAGGGAUUAAAUAGCUUGGGGUAACUUUUUUGGAGCCGAACAACCUUAAAAACCCCUCCCCUCCCUACCUUGUCAUGAAAUAAAAAACGAACCCUCUCCCAGUCCCCAGCCACGCUUUCUUCCUCCACCCCGCUCCCUCAAAAUCCCCGCUCCAAGAAUUGCUUCUCUUCCUUCGCCGGACCGAAGCCGAAGCCAUCGUGAUCUCCUUCGAGAGCCAUCGCAUCGAGAGCUGCAGAUAGAAAUCGUAAUCUCUCUCUGUCUCUCUCUCUCUCUCUCUCUGUGUCUUUCUGUCAGCCUGUGGAUGUGAAGAUAGUGAUUGCUGUAGCAGAUGCUAGGGUUUUGAUUUGGAAAUUUUGUGUGCUGGGGGUAAAGGAACUGUCACUUCGAUUCCAUUGUUUUCUUGGGACUUUCUUAUGCGAGGGAGCGUGGGAAAACGAUUCUUACUUGGUUCUUGAGAGGUUUAGACUGUUCUUUAACGGACCCUUGGGGAAUAUGGGAACGGGAGGACGUCUUCUAGUUGAGAUUGAUGGAUCUGAAUGUAUUCUUGUGAUUCCUUUUUUUUUAUAUAGUUAUUUAAAAGCUUCUUAGGAGGAUUUUAGGAACGGGGUAAAUUUAGAGGUUAAGCUGGCAAGAUUUCUUGGUCAUAUAUAAAGUCGACUAAAAUUAUUUAAACAAGAUUCCUCGGUUAUUAGUUCACUGUUGGGAAAUUGUUGUUAUUUUUUUUCUGGGAGAGUAGAUUUUUCUUGUUCCUCCUGAACCAUGGCUAUGAAUUGGUUCAUUAUUGGAGACACCAAUCAUUGGCUGAGUUUCAAUUUGGCAUUUGCCCCGGACUAAAAUAGACGUCCGGGAUAUUCAUUAAUAGUCCCCUUUCAGAUGUUUUUUAUGCCUCUUUUUUUCAUAUUGUAUGGUUUUUGUAGUUAAAUCCGUCUUGCUGUUUCUUGAAGACCAAACGGAUGCUGAACUUGAACAAUUUUGGGUUCCUUUGUUAGUUGAUGACAAGAAUGGUGAGUAUGAGGAUAAUAAUGUAGCAGUGUAUUUUGAGCAGUAUGUCUUGCAAGUAAUCUGCUCAUAAAAAGCAAAAUAGACAGUUUAUUUGAUUCUUUCUUUCAGUUUCAUAGUGUUAUAUGCUUGUAUCAUGCCAAUGGAAAAGUAGGGCUGGUAAAUCAGGGGUUGGUGUAAGCAUUCUUGAAGAUCUAUAUAUUUUUAAGAUACUGUAAUAGCAUAGGCUUCUUGGUGGUUCAGCUUGAUGCCAAUGCCAACCUGUGGUGGCUGGUGAGUAUCUAAGCAACAGAACAAUUUUUAUUUUCAAGAAAAUAUUAUACCACCCUGCAAGAAACCAAAACUUGAAGGUGCAAUCUGUUUUGGAAUAAACUUUUGAACUUUGACAAAUAACUCCUUUUCAUAUAAUCAAAUAACAACAGAAAUUCUGGACCAAAAAAGGGUACCAAUAUGUUGUUUGACUGUGAUAGGAAUGACAAAAAUCAUACUUGUAAGAGGGUGGUGCAAUAUGUAUUGCACCAAAAUUUUCUUUGACUGCUCAGAGCUCAACUGAGAAAUCAUUGUGAGAAUGCAAUUUUAAUUUUGGAUGCAUAGCACCAUUGCUUCAUUUUUCUUUUAGCUGGUGUACUGUGAUGCAGUCUUUGAUAUCAUUUCUUUUCUUUCUUUUAAACUAGUGCGGAUGCUCGAAGUUUAGAUUCUACCAAGGAACGAAUUCUUUGAGACAGUAUGCAUGUCAGCCCCUGGGGCGCUUGCUGAUGCUGUGGAAGCGUCCUCUUGUUCAGGAAGUGCUAGGCUGUCCCAUGACACUAGUUGUGUUAGCAACAAAGAGUACUUGCUCAGUUUUGCCAAUGGACAGGAUGUUCGUUCUUCCACCGCACAGAUUGGUUUUCCAGUUGGUGAGCUUGUACUUCCAAAUGGGGAUAAGUAUUCUGGAACACUGUUGGGCAAUAUGCCAGAGGGGUCAGGAAAAUACACUUGGUCAGAUGGUUUCAUAUAUGAGGGUGAAUGGAAAAGAGGGAUGAGACAUGGGCAUGGGAAGAUCACAUGGCCUUCAGGAGCUGUUUAUGAGGGAGAAUUUUCGGGCGGUUACAUGCAUGGUACUGGCACAUAUGUUGGCCCAGAUAAUCUGACCUACAAGGGACGGUGGAAGUUAAAUCUCAAACAUGGCCUGGGAUAUGAAACAUAUCCAAAUGGAGAUGUCUUUGAAGGUUCCUGGAUUCAGGGAGUGGUAGAAGGGCCUGGUAAGUAUGUCUGGGCCAAUGAAAACAUCUAUGUUGGCAACAUGAAAAGAGGAAAAAUGUCAGGGAAGGGAACUCUUACUUGGAAAAAUGGCGACAAGUAUGAAGGCAAUUGGCUGGAUGGCAUGAUUCAUGGAUUUGGAGUCUACACCUGGAAUGACGGUGGCUGCUAUGUUGGAACAUGGACCAGGGGUUUGAAGGAUGGAAAAGGAGCAUUUUAUCCAAAAGGAUGCAAAAUUCCAGCUGUACAGGAGCUUUAUAUCAAUGCUUUAAGAACGCGAGGGAUGUUGUUAGAUUUGAAAAGGCAAAACCAUGGGCAACGUAUCCUUCAUUCUUCUUCUAUUGACAUGGGAAACAUGAAGGUCAGCGAGACCAAGGACUCAGGUAGUGGCUUAUCUGGUAUUCUUCCUAAAGGAAACCUAAUAAGUUUUGGGCAAUCUUGCUCCCAAAGAGUGUCUCUGGAAAGGCGUUGGAGUCUCGAGGUUGCGAUUGAAAAAGUUAUUGGACAUGAUACGUCUGGAGAAUCUGUUUUAGAAAAUGAUGAGAAGGUGGUAGAUACAAAUGUUCCAAUCUUGGAGCGGGAAUACGUGCAAGGUGUAUUAAUCAGUGAAAUAGUAACCAACAGUGACUAUCCAAUGUUAUCUAAAAAAGCAAAAAGACGUCAAAAAAAACUGGCAAGAGACAUAAAACAGCCUGGAGAGACAAUAAUUAAGGGCCAUAGAAGUUAUGAUCUAAUGCUUAGUUUGCAGCUUGGAAUCAGGCAAUAUUCUCUCUUCUGACCUUGCCUGUUUUAAAAUACUGCACCUUUUUUUCUUUAUUUAUUUACAUUCUUUCUGCAUUACUUUAUAUUUUUCUCUCUUUCUCACCAUUUGUAUUGUAGGGAUUGUAUGUUGCAUUGUUUGUUGACGAAAUUCCUCUUGGGCUGACACACAAGUGAUUAUUGGAUAGGUUUCUGCUGGUUACUGAGCAUUGUUAUAUGAUAUUUUGCACAUUUGAUUUGCUUAAAUUUUGUCGAACUCUUUGUGGUACUUUUAUUUGUGAACUGCGACAAAUUAAAGCUAUUGCAGAUAAUAGGUAAAUAUAAACCAAUUCUUAGUUGUUCCUUUGUCCACCAGAUUACUUACUCUAGCAUCCCGCCUGAAGAAGAAAGAAGCAUACUUGGAAAAAGAAAAUUGAUCCUUGAGUAGGUGAUGUUCUAUAGACUCUNNNNNNNNNNNNNNNNNNNNNNNNNNNNNNNNNNNNNNNNNNNNNNNNNNNNNNNNNNNNNNNNNNNNNNNNNUCACCAAACUACUGGUGGCUCACCGGUACGGUUUCGGACGCCGGUGGAGGGCCGUGGGAGGGCGGCAGUGGCUGUGGUGGACGAGGCUGCGGCCAGUUCCACGAUUAUUUCUGCCACCCUUCACCAGCCUCUCUCCCCCUUCUCUCUCUCUCCCAUGGUACCAAUAAUCUCUCUUGGCACAGGUCCGACACUGCUCGUACCGAGUCAUCCCACUGGAGAACUGGUACGGUGCCCAGUAUCGGUUUCUUCGACCUUUCUCUAGAGAAACACAAUAAUUUUCAGUGCUUGUUUGACACUAGAAUAAGAUGUCCAUUUUGUGCGUAAAGAGUAUGUAACAUCAUGGAUGAUGUUUUAGAAAGAAAAAAUUAAAGUAAUGGGAAAGAUGGUAGAAAAAAGUAGGAAGAAUACUGUAUGCAUCAGUUAAAGGCACGUUUGUUGUUAUAAGCAUUUUACAUGUAGCCGCUACUCCUAAUGGUAUGUUUCUGCUACAUCUUGUAAACACAAUUUGAAAAACCAUUGUCUUAUUAGUUAUUACCACCUUGAUGAGUCAGUGAUAGCAUGUUUUUAUUUGUAUUACAGUCAUGUUCUGAUUUUCCUUGAUGAAACAAUAACAAAUUGGAGCUGGAAAUCCUGUAUUCGAGGUCAAUUUCCUUUAUUAACAUGCAUCAUAACUUGAUCUAAAGAAUCAAAGCAAAUUAACAUGACUCGAAGAUAAGAAACUGAAAGUUUUGUUCUAACAUAAAGGAAUGUCAUUCUUAAUUUUGUUUCAGUUUGUUGUCGUGAUUUCUAUGUCUUGAGAAAACUGGAGAAGAAAAGAUUCAAUAGAUAGGAUUCCAAUAUGGGGUUCAAUUAUCACGUAUCAUCAAAAACAUCACAUGUAGCCUCCAUAAUUUCAGAUGAAUUGAAUUGUAACGGAAUCAUUUAUUUUGUUAUGAAGCUGAUAUUGACCAUGAAUGAGAAUGAUUUUUAUUGGAGAAUGAAUUGAAUUUGGACAAUGAAUUGAAUAUUGAUAAAAAAGGAUGGCCCAAUGAACGAGGCUCCUGCCAGUGCGGGUUUGGGGAUGGUUAGAUGUAUGCCCUAGGGUGUGAUGAGGCUGUUUCUGUAUUUUAAACACGUGACAACCGUGUGACAAUAGGGCAAUCUUAACAUUGCACUAAGGCUUGCCCUUAAUUAAUUAAAUAUUAAUGUAAAAUAAAAUAAACAUAAGGACAUAAAUAUAAUAUAGAAUUGGAUUAAAAAAAUGCUAUAAAAAAUGAUACAAAUAUAAGAGUGAAGAAAUAAGACGUGCUGGUUCACAGUUGUGGUCAAAUCAAUUUGAUGUUGAUGGAUCCUGUACUAAGAGGGUAAUUGUCUAGGAUAAAGAUCUGAAGACCCAAUAUGAUUUUCUAUAGAAAUGCAAAGGAGGCUGAAACGAUCUCUCACCUUGAUUUUGGGUUCAAAUCAAAUGGAAAAGGUUAUCCCCUGAUUUGUGCUUAAAAGGUUAUCCAUAUUGUUGACUGAUCCUAAUUCUAGACCUAUUGGAGUUGGUUUUAGGUGCUUUUGGCAGCUAGUGGUGAAGUUUGGAGGAUAGUACUGCUUUUUAGCCACAGUUCUUGCAAACUUUCUUCCAUCUAUCAGUUGGCUACAAUAGUCUCGAUGAUGCCUGUCAAAAUUCAUGUGGUGUUGGGUUGGAUUGCGGUCAUCUUCUGAUGGAUGAAAGCAGCAACUAAUAUUCGGGUUGUGAAAUCUUAUGUGGAUAAUUGCAUAACUUUUAGUUUGAGAUUCACAUUUAAUGAUGAGUGGGUUAACCACUGUUUACCACAAUCCCAAGAAGAUGCUUCAUGACUAUGAUCCAGAGAUGUCCUUGUAAAUUGGGAGCAAAUGCUAUGAUAAUAUAGUUUUGCAUCAGUUCACUAAAUGGUUGCAAACAUGUGAUACAUAGUAACGUCAAACUGUAAGCCCUGUGAUGUGAAUUUGGAAAUAAUAUGACUAAUGGAUUGCAUAAAAACAAACAUGUAAUGCAUUAAUAUAGAACUGAUUAUGCAUUAAUAUUAUCAGUGUGAUUUAUUUACUUGUAGAAAGCAGGUCAAACAAUCGACCUUAACAAAUAUGUGUCUAAAUUUAUUGAGUUUUUUUAAUUCUUCUCAAUCUUUUCAGUUUGAAUGUACUCAAACUUCCAGGAGUCAUACAUUGCAGUUCUAGAUGUCUUGUUGGAUCUCCAACAACUUCUCAUGGUCUUUAAGUUUUACAAUUUUAAUAUUUAGGUUGUUCUUACAACUUCUUAGAUGACAAAUGAAUGGGAAUGUAGGGCUUACAGAAAUCUAGUUUAAUGUAGUAUUCUGAUAUCACGUGGAUACUCAUCAUAUCAUAUGAUAUGAAAUUCUUCCGCAUGAUAUUCAGUUUCUGAAUUUGUCACCAUGUGCUACUUAAGCAUUCACAUACUCCCCCUGCCUUCCCUCAAUCAAGGAAACAUUUUGCUUAUAGUUUUGCUUGCAGGAGAUUAUUAGAAGACACUAUGAUUUUUUUUUUCCCUUUUCACUGUGAUCCUCAUGAUCAACAUUGUCAUGAGUAUCAUUAUAAUUAUCAUCACUUUUAUCUUCAUAACUUCAAUUAUUGUUGAUAAUGAGAUACUGAUUAAUGGAGACGUCAGUAUGAAAGUCACAAACAUCGGCUUAUUAAAUAUGAUACUAUCUUUAGAAGGUUUCCUUGGCUAAAUGGGCCUGUAAGCUUUCAAAAGUCAUUACGUUUAAAUUCACUGUUGUUUUUCUUGGUGCUCAUGUUGCUAAUUUUGGUGAGGAAUGUUGGCUUAUCUAUAUUGAUUCUAUCCUUAGAUUGGUUGUUUGAUUUUAUGUAUUAAUAUGCUUUUCAAGUGCUUGCUUCACAAAUAGAAGUAUUUGUACGAUCCCAAUCUCAUGUUUAAAAAAGUUCACAAUUUUUCUAGUAUUGUUUAUCAUUAAGAAGUCCUACAAGAUAUAUUGGCAAUUUCUUUUGAUUAAAAGCAGAAGAUAUGAAGAUAUACCUCAAGAUAUCUUGCCUAUGUUACUGGAAAUUUCCAGAAGACUGACACUCAGUAUAUCUUAUUUUAAUUCCCAGGUAUACUGUAGGAAAAAUUACCCCAAUACAAAGGCGUGAAGUUCGUGCAUCAGAUUUUGGUCCUAGAGCUAGCUUUUGGAUGAAUUUUCCUAAAGUAGGGUCGCAGCUGACACCUCCUCAUCAUGCAGAAGAUUUUAAAUGGAAAGACUACUGUCCAAUGGUUUUCAGGUUUGUAAGGAACUGCAGUCAACACCUUUUUCUGUUUGUUUAUUCUGUUAGGAUGUUUAUUAUUAACUACUUUCAAGGGGCUAUCACCAUUUUGUUCGCUAGUUGUAUUUACUAACAUCUGUAUUUUUCUUUGUGUUUUCUUAUAUAAACUACUUUCUUAUAUCUGUGGCUAUGCUAAUUGCUUGGUAUCUAAGUGUAAAAGUGUUCAUUAGAAGUUAUGAUUGUUUUUGACCUUCCAAUGUUUUUAGUGCAUUAAUGUCUUUCCUAUUUAUAUUGUUAUCUCUUGUUAGUUUUUGUUGCAGUUUGACUAUUGAAAUCUUAACCAAUCACUUCAUAAAAAGUGCAUUUUUAAGAAUAAUUUUCAAGUUCCCUCACAUAAUAUGUUCAACCACUCUGCUCAAUUGCAGAGCAUGUUAUUUGUGUGUGUGUGUGUGUGUGUGUGUGUGUGAGAGAGAGAGAGAGAGAGAGAGAGAGAGAGAGAGAGAGAGAGNNNNNNNNNNNNNNNNNNNNAGAGAAACUAAAGUAACAAAUAACUCUAAUGGAGAAUCCUGCUCCAAUCGCCCUCCCCCCCCCCCCAACCAAAUAAAUAAAUAAAUAAAUAAAUAAAUAAAUCAAGUUUUAGGCUGAACCUAGUAAGUCCACAGACUAUUUUGUCAGGGUUGAUUGCUAGUUACCCUUCACCUUGAAAGAAGAUUUCACAUCGUUUUUGCAAAUGUUUCUGGCCUUUCUGUUAAUUUCAGACCAUAUGUCUGGGUUUUCCUUCAAUGAACUUUUAUGGGCUUUUAUUGCAUAUGUGCAUAUGACGAACCUGUAUUAGUUUGUUGGUCCUUUAUCACGAACAUCCUAAUUAAUAUAUUGGCAAUCAUCUAUCUGUAGUGUUUAUGUGAAGCCUGUAUUAUUUAUUGCAAACACAGUAUGCAAGGAAAAUUCUAUUUUAUGGGGCAAGUGGAUGUGCCUGAUCUGCCUCUCUGCUUAUCUCUUGUGUCUUAACGCCCAGAUGCCCAUGCGUAAGCACAGGGCAGUCAAAGACAGGAAAAAGUGGGCAAGCAGUUUGUGAGUGCGCCUAUCGGAACUAUAGUAUUGUCUGUAGUCUGUACUAUAAAGCAUGUCACUGGAACUAUGUGAGCAUUAAAGUCUUUUGAUCUGAACUGGUUCUAGCAGCCAGUCUUGAAUGAGAUAGCAUCAGUGUACAGCUAAGUUUUAUACUUAGAUGUUAGUUAUGUGACUCCAACAAACAACUAAUACCGGGGUGGUUGGUUUGCUUGUUUACAUAUAAAAUAUUUGUGCCAGCACCCCGUUAGCAGAUAUGUCGGAUUUCAUAUUAAGUUUUUCAUCUAGAAAAAGGCCACAAGAUCCAUGCAGUUCUGACCUGGCUGACUCACUUGAAAUUAGCUAGUUAAUGCAGUUCAACUGGUUCUAGGAACAAAGCUUCCCUCGUCAAGCAUAUUUCUAGCUGGUCGAAAACAGAGCUGACCUCAUUCAGCAGGCUGGUUUGGUCAGGCUUUUCUCACACUGCUUUGAAACAGAUUUAUUUUCUUAUGUACUUAUGUUUGGUGCAUCUUCAUUUCUGGAGGCAUAUAGUGGUGUAUGUUUGAAUAUGAUUGUACUAGACAAACGUGUCUUAACAUAAGGUUUAUUUGUAUAUAUUUCUUUCAUCUUUUGAUUGCAGAAACUUGAGGGAGAUGUUUAAGAUAGAUGCUGCAGAUUAUAUGAUGUCCAUUUGUGGAAAUGCAGCACUUAGAGAACUUUCUUCUCCUGGGAAGAGUGGUAGUGUCUUUUUUCUUUCUCAAGAUGACCGGUUCAUGAUCAAGACACUCCGCAAAUCUGAAGUACAGGUGCUUGUCUCCUCAAAUAUCAUAUAGAUCUAUAUGUAGUAGGUGGACAAUAGUUAAAACUGGAAUUUAUUUCAAAGGAAAAUCUGAUUCCAUGCUGUUAUAAGAUACAAAAGCAUCAAUCUGUUUUGUAUAUACCUACUGUUAUAUUUUGUAUGAUGAAGUUAUUAUUCGAAAAACAUACUUGGUGUAUGAGAACUAUGUUUCUGAAUCUAUGUAUUCAGAUUUCAGCCUUUCGGUGCCUGUCAGCUAAAAGCAAACCUAGUCAACCUUUUAUUUGUCAAAUGAGUGUUGAUCAUGUUAUGAUGACAGUUAUUUCAGAGAUAUGAUCAUUACUUUGGAGGAUGGCCACCAUAUUUGUGAUAAUCUUAAACUUUUGCUGCAAUAAAGACUGGCAUCCCAAAUUUUUGAUUUCCCAAAUUUUUGAUUUCCCAAAUUUAUCAUCUCUUCUGGAUAUCCAAGAUUCUGUUCAAUCCAGUUCAAUAUUAUUAUGUAAUAUACAGAAAAUUAACUUGUUUUAUUUGCUCUUAGUGCUAGUCUAAUUGAAGGGAGACUGAUAUGCUUGAUUUUAUGCAUCUUUUUUCCUCUCUUAUGGUGAUGCAUAGCCUGGAAUUUAGUUUUACAAAUAUUAUUUGUUAGAUAGAAUAUCCACUUCUAUAUAUGUAUGCUGAUCCUUUAUAAUAUUUGCUUCCUGGAAAUGUUCUGUUCUUUGGUCAAUUUGUCAGUUAUCAACUCACUAGAUGCAUAGCCUGGAAUUUAGUUUUACAAAUAUUAUUUGUUAGAUGUAUCCACUUCUAUAUAUGUGUACUGAUCCUUUAUCAUAUUUGCUUCCUGGAAAUAUUCUGUUCUUUGGUCAAUUUGUCAGUUUUACAACUCACUAGCACAUAAGCAUAUAGCUUUCGGAUGAUAUUUUUGCGUGAUUAGAUUAUUCAGAAUCAUGAACAAUCUGAAGUUACUAAUAGUUUAUAAUUGUGUAGGUUCUUUUGCAGAUGCUUCCAAACUAUUUCCAUCACGUGCGUACAUAUGAGAAUACACUCAUAACUAAAUUUUUUGGUCUCCACAGGGUGAAACCUUCCAGUGGGCAAAAGGUAAUCCCUAUGCUCAGUAAAAUGUGCCUUAGGUACUCUAGUUGGUUUUAGAAGUAAGUUUGGCACAUUAUUGCCGCACUCUUGGAGGUUUGCCUUUCAUAUCUUAAUAGUGAUGUCAUUCUUUAUGGAGCAUCAAUGUUGCAUUUGCAGAGUUAAAGCAGCUUUUCAUUCUUUAUUCUUUCUAAAUGGCAGUUCCGGUUCGUAGUAAUGGGAAACAUGUUUUGCACAGAAUUGAGAAUUCAUCGAAGAUUUGAUUUGAAAGGGUCAUCCCUGGGACGCUCUGCAGACAAAAUUGAAAUUGAUGAGAAUACAACACUAAAAGAUUUGGAUCUAAACUACUGCUUCUAUUUGGAACCUUCUUGGCGGGAUGCUUUACUGAAGUAAGAAAUGUUCUUAGAAGCAUUAUUAUACUUUCAAUAUAAAGUCAUUCAUGCCCGUUAUACUAAUCUCCUUCUUUCUUGGGAUGCUAAAACUAUGUUACAUUGGCUCCAAGAAAAUAAGGGUAAUGUGCUUUCUGCUUAGUUCUUUUCCUUAGUAUGAUGCUAUGGUUCCCAUAUAACACAACCAGAAUCUUUUUGAAGAUGUUUCUGUGUUCAAAGUUUAGUAGCUUUUUAAUUGUAUUAUUAUUCAUCUUAUGUUUGCUUUUAUUAUCAUAAUAUGCAUGCAUAAUUGCAUCUAGAUAAACUCGAGUAGAAAUAAUGAAAUUGGUAUCUAGCCUUAUAAUUAUCUAUAUGGGGAACAUUUUUGGAUUUUAGAUUUAAAAUAAAAGGUGCUUUCCUGAAAUAUGAUUAAGAACAUCCGAAUCAUCCUCCCCACGACAUAGUUGAUGCAAAGCAGAAAUUUGAGAUAAGGAAUAGGAGAAAGGUUUUCUUUUUUUUUUGGGUUGGGGGGGGGGGGGAGGGGGUGGAUGGUAGGGGAGGGAAUGGUUUUAGAUUCACUGAUAACAGAAAUGUAUAUUUUACUUUGCUUUUUUCUGUGCAGUACAAUCUAUUAUGUGCUAUUGAACAAUAUGUGUCUCUCACAUGUUCAUGCCCCACCUUUCAGAUUUUUAUUGGCAAAACUGUAUGACUGGAUGACUUCUUUUUUUCUUUGAUUUUUUAAUGAUGUUUCCUUUUUUUUGUCAAGGAUGUGGCACUCUUAUUGCAAUGAGAUAAGCAACUUCUUAGUAUGUUACAGAUAGUGGCCUGACAAUAUGAUAGUCAAAGCAACUGUACUUUCUGUGCUUAUGAAAGACAACGUCGUGCUAGUCGAAUAAUAUUCUUGUUAUUACAAAUUAAUGGUGUAAAAUUAAAAAUAAUAUAUUCUCGUAUUCAAAGGUGCCCAUGGAUCCAUGUGACAUUUUGGAGUCAGUGCCUGCAAUGGCUUGAUAUUCAACCUGUGUUCAAGCGGCAACCAUUAUUUGCUUUUUUAAUUUGCCACGAGAAAAUCGAUUCAGCUUCUUCCAAAUAGCUCUAAUAAUUGCAAGUAACAGAAUACAUAAACUGGCCAAACGAAAGUUAUAUGUUUACGAGAAGCCCUAUUAAUAAGGGUCGGCUUAUUUGAUACAUCUAAGUUACAGAUUGUGGAAACUUAUUCGGGAACAUGUUACUCUUCAUGAUUUGAAUGUUAUGUUGAGCAGCAACUUUCUAGCACCUGUUCUUCUAGGCUUCUAGAACCGGGAUAUGUCUGCCUAGUAUUUGGUGUUUUCUUCAAUUAAAUGCAGUGCCAAUAGCACAUUAAUUGUAUGUAAAAUUUUAGCAUGCCAUUAUUGAGUGCAAGAUUUUGGCAUUUCAUUUGGAUGGUAUUCCUAUUGUUUUUAAAUAUUUUAAUUGAAUUAUAGUUUCGUAGAACCUUCAGAUGUUUGUCGUACUCUUAUCAAUUUCUCCUGCAGGCAGAUUGAGAUUGAUAGCAAAUUUUUGGAAACACAACACAUAAUGGAUUACAGCCUAUUGUUAGGUGUCCAUUAUCGGGCUCCCCAGCACUUGCAAUCACGUGCAUCCCAUCAUCGAAGUGUGACUGCAGACAGAUUAACUGUCCUUUCAGUGGAAGGUGAUGGCAUCAAAAUUUCUUGUAGAAUUAGUUUUUCUGCCUUUAUUGUUCUUAUUUGUGAAGAAAAAGCUACUAAACUACCAGGAAAAUAAGGUUCUUGCUUUUGAGUUGGGGUGAAGCGCUUCUUUUCUAGGAUGAAAAACUUAGAUGAAGAAAAACUGGUGUAUUUCUUUGAGAGAAAAUAGGCGUAAUAGAAACUGAAAAUUAAGUGAUUUUUUUGUAGAGUUGCUAAAUAUUUCCAAUCGAAAGACCUGUAAUUUCGAGUUAACAGGAAGAGUUCCCAAAAACAGUCCAGUUUAUAUUAUGCUUUAAUAAUAGGACAAUCAAUUAUUUAAUCUAGUGCUUAAUGGGACCCACCUAUGCUAUCUACCUGGAUUUCUUUUCCUGAUAUAUGCACAAUUUACUUCAUAAUGGUUUUUCAUACUUGACUCUGUUUAUCAAGUCUUAUCAACAUGCGUGCUUUGUUGGAACUGAAGAGAUAAAGAGACAUAUAUCAGGUCACGGAAUAUUUCAAAGAUGCUUAUAUUUAGGGAAUCUAAGAAUUGUUUUGAAACCUUCACUGAGGUGAAAAACACCUAACUUUAAACUUGGAAGGUUGUGAUAGCCAUUGACUACUUGCUCAAAAUACGGUAUUUCUGUUAGAAGAUUUCAGAUAUUAUUUUCUAAACUGCUCGCCAAUAUCACAAACUGGCUCAAAAUAAAAUCUGGAAAUUAGUUCCAUGUUAUAUUGGAUUCUAAUAUGCAGAGAGGUUAACACUAUUCCUAAACUACCAGAUUGCUGAAGCUUCAUGUAUAAUGUCCACACUGUGUAUUAGUGUUUUCUAAUUUUCUGCUUUUUUUUUGCCCAAUGAUGAUGACAAAGUAUCUCUCAUAUAGCAAUUGUUCAUGAUGCAUUUGCAUAUAAACAUAGAUGUUAGUCUUCACUUGUAGUAUGCUUUUCUUUAAUCUAUUACUAUGCCGCUUCCAAUUUCUGGACAUGUUUGAGAUUGAAAAAUGGAGUUUUCUGGCUCUAGGAUCAUCUUAAAUCUAUUUUUGGUUCUUGAAUCCAUGUAUUCCUAGAAAACAAAAGGAUUUUCUGUAUCCUAGAGAAUAGUGAUCCUUCUAGUGCUAGAGGUUACUGAUACUUUUAAUCAUUUGCUUUAUUGUGCAAGUUGUUAAUGGUGAUAGCCAGGUCAUCAUCAUGUAAAAUGCCAAAUAUAAUAUUACUAAAAGCCGUCUGGUAUCUAUUGCUUGUGUCAAUAUGCAUAGGUCUCUUGCUAAAAGCCUUGAAUCACUUUGCUUGGGAAGUGAUUAUAAGUUUCUUCAAUUAUUAUUCAAUUUCAGAUGUCCAAGAGGAUGAGAUUUUUAGCUACCCGCAGGGCCUUGUUUUGGUUCCACACGGGAGUGAUGAAAACAGUGUUGUUGUGGGUCCUCAUAUCAGAGGCAGCCGUUUAAGAGCAUCAGCCGCUGGUUUUGAGGAAGUGGAUCUGCUGCUUCCAGGCACAGCAAGGUGAGCUGUUUUAUUCGCAAUGUUUUUUAGCAACCCUCUCGAGCAGCUUGGCGCAUCCAUACCGUGCAAUGCUUUCCAUGAGAAGCAUAACCCAAAGGCCACAGGCCUUGUGCACUAGGAUUAGUUUGUGAUAUGAUGGUUGUCCUCAAUAUUUCAUAUUCGACAGCCUUAUUUUAAAUGUUACUUUGCCCAGGCUACAGAUCCAGCUCGGGGUUAACAUGCCUGCUAGAGCGGAGCAUAGUCCAGCAGAAGAUAAAACCCAGCUCCAUGAAGAAGUGUACGAUGUGGUUCUCUACUUGGGGAUAAUUGACAUUUUGCAGGAAUAUAACAUGACCAAGAAGAUAGAACAUGCUUACAAAUCCAUUCAAUUUGAUUCCCUUUCCAUCUCAGUGGUGGAUCCUGAAUUCUACUCGCAGCGAUUUUUAAGGUUUAUUCAGACAGUUUUCCCCGAAAAUCCCUAGCUUGUCAAAAGUUGCAUCUAUUUUUGGCAAAAUCCUUAUGAUCGGCUGGCUGGCCUAGAUUAUGUGCAUAGUGAAACAGUGCAUUGUAUAUUAGCUGAUGUAAAUAUUUUUGCAGAAAAUCAAGUUAAAUAAUUUAUCUUGUUUUUUUAUGCAACCAAUCCAAGGACCAGAGCUGCCUUUUUGUGCAUGCUGUUAACAAUUAUAGAAGGUGCAAUAAAUUUGCGCUGCUGUUUUGCUUUCUGCUCAAACCAGAAAAGGUACAGGAACCUGAAACAAUCGGGAGGUUGACUGUUAAAAACAAACAAGCUACCAACACAAUUAUUAGCGUGCAGGCUAGUUAGGGGAUUCAGAAUGGCAGAUUAGUGGAGUGUGCGUACCCGGUCCAAUUCAUGCACAAGUUUCUGAUCAAUGCUCAAAAUUGUGUUACCUGGAAUUACUGAAGCACUUCCCUCAGUGAUCUGAUAAAUACAUCAUUUCAAUUUCUGCCCCUACCACUUACUUUAAUUUCUAUUCCUUGGCGUGGAUGCUUAGAAAAAAAAAUCAUUGGCCGCGGGCAAAAUAAUUGAAGGUUCUUUCUGUGUUCAAAAAACCAAAAGUGAACUAGAUUGAACAUGUGGAAUUGAACCGUUGUAUUUUUUUAGUUGUUCAUGAAUCUUUAGAGCUUUUGGUACCAAAGAUCUAUUUGAUUUAAAGAAGAGUCAAAAUAAAAACAAGUUAAAUAAGUUACGGAAAUGCUUACCUUCAACAUGAAUCUCCAUGUGGUAGAUCCCACUUUCUCUUGCUAAACUUAUGGAAACAGGUCUUGGAUUACCAGAGUGAUGCAAAAGUUGGCAAAGCUUUGGCAGAACAGACUUUGAACAGAAAAUGCUGUUAAUCCUGGCAUAUCCAACUGCUGGAGCAAUUCGCCAAAUCAAAGUUGCAUCAUAGGGUCAAAACAAAAGUCACCAUUUUCCCCUAGGUACAUAUUUGGUGUUUAACAGCAUUAAUUCUCACAACCACAAUCAAAAGCACCCGAGUAAAUUUUUCGCAUCAACAAUUUUCAACAUUAGAAACAUGCUAAACAUGCAGAUCCUCGUCAAGGCAAGUCUUAAGUUUCAUAAUGUGCGGUCUAGCAUGACAGUAUCUGAAAUUGCAGAAAGAGUAAGAAUAAAAAAACCGUGCGCAUCAUAUUACAAACGAUUCAUUGUCUCAAGUGAACGUAUAUCUGUCAGUCCGUGCACCCUUCAGUUGAAAAAAGCCACAAAUAAAUAUCAUAAUAUGCAAUACAUAUGGUCCAACAUUUUAAGGUCCUUUUCUUCCUCGAGUUUUAAAUGUGUUCAAAUCACUUGGUCAAAAGAGUAUCUAUUGAACAGACAAACAAGCUUACUUGCUAUAAAUACACAAUCCCAUUUUAUAGCUUAUUGUAAGAAGUAAUGCCGAUAGGAAGAAAAGAUAGAAGCCACCACGUAGCAUCAUUGACACUGGUCCACCCUGCAUCUUUGAAAUUGAAUCAAGAAGUAUAGAUUUUCUAACUUCAUUACCAGCCAGUCCGUAAGAAAGGAGGAAGCCCACAUCUCCGUUCUUCUGCAAGGACCAGUGUUCUGUGCUGCCUGUCACAGUUAAACCACGUAUUUGGAUCAUCCCAGCAGUGACAUGUAUCGAGCUGGCUGAGUUGGUUGUGGAGAUUUGUCCAGCACGUUUCUCUGACCCAGCAGGAUAUUCUGCAGCAAUAGCAGGGGGGGCCGAGAUUGAGCCCAACAUGUUCACAAGACGUUUUGUGAUAGUAUUAUCAUUGCUCUCAUUCCCCUGUACAUCUGCACCACAAAAUUUAAGACCUUGCAUUCAGAACAAAUAUCAUGUAUGCCCAAAAGAAGGCCAGUCCAUGAGAAAAUCUUCGAAAUAAGUGCCUGGACCAUCUAGACUGUAUGCAACUUGAUCAUCACCAAAAUUUCAUUCUGCUCUUGCAAACCCAAACUAAAUAGUCUCAGAGGCUAUCCUUUAUAAGGAAAAACAGUUGUGAUUUGCAAACAAGGAAAUUUUGAGCGAUCCAUACGGUAAUCAGACUUUAACCAGGUCCAGACUUUUACAGAAACAGCUUAGAGAGUCGCAAUGCAAAAGGUGUAUUUAAUUUCCUAGGAGAAAAUAUUUGAUCUCAAAAACCAUACCUGGCACGAUGUUAACAUCAGUUUUACUAUAAAACUGAUUAAUACCAUCAGGUAAGCUAAUGGAGGAUGAUGCGCGACUUGUAACAUUUGGUUCUGGUGCCUGUGGGUUAUCCUUGUUUUGUUGAGCAUUGAUGCCAUCAAACUGCAAGCAAGAAUCAUAUGAUAUGUUACCUCAUCUAUACAAUCAAUAAAUACACGCUUGAUUGAAGGAUAGAGCAACUUCAUUUGAGGUUCUAAUGGGGCAUACCUCUGGAGUGAGGUUGAACUGGUCCAAGAUACAAGAAUUCAUACACCCCGACUUUUCUAAGGAACCUGCAGUAUCAACAUGUAAAUUAUCAUCUGUGGCAUCAAAGUACCCCAUUAACUUAUCCACCGCAUCAAACCCAGAUGGAUCAGUGAUAGGCGAGUACAGGAGUUGAUUCAGUUCUGGAAAAUUAUCCUGGCUAAAUCCUAGGUCAUUGCUAGGUGCAUCAUAAAACAUCGUGUUUUCCUCAGCCAAUUGACUUGAAGGACAAUCACCAGCUACAGGAUUUGUGAGAUCAAUUGAUUGCAGAUUAUAAUUAUCCUGAACUGUCGGGGACAUCUGAACCAGUUCCGGCCUGUCUGUGUUUUCAUUCACGGUGUCGAAAAAUUCCUCCACAUCAAGGAUUUCUUCUAAAUUGAUGGUAUCAUCUACUCCAUCCACAGAUUUCCAAUCAUUACAAGUCCUUAAAGGGCAAACUACAGAGUCUUCACUAGGAGGAUCUUCUGGAUUUACAGUAUCAGCAAGAUCAUUAAGCUCCACAUAUCCAUCAUUUUGGCUCGGAGGAGUGUGAGACCUAUCUGUCAUGCCAAUAUUGUCGCCCAUGUCAUUAAUAAGCACUGGGCUGUUCUGCAGCCUAGGUUCUUCAAUGCAUUCCACAAUCGGGUCUUUUAGCAUCUGCUGAUUCUGCUCCAGUACAACCGAAGGAUCUUCUUGAUGGCUGCUACCAUCCUGCCCAUCAGGAACCACCAUAAAACCAGCAGCAUUUGCUUGUUGAUUGUCUGUGUAUUGGUUCUGAAAACAUUUAAAGAUGUUCAAAUGCAGAUCUCAGUCAACAGCAUAAUAACGAUGGUGAAAAAUAUCGAUGCAAUGUCACCCGACAAUGUACGUUAAAAAGAUCAAACAAAGGAUUGUAGAUACAUCGGUUAAAGACUUUGAAACUUAUGGUUUGUUUAUUUUAAAAUGGCCAAUUCAUGAAAUAGUAACAGCCUGCAAUAAGAGUAAAUACAUGUACAAAAUUUAAAAUAUUGCCCUGCAGGUUGCUGAUGUAGACUGCAAAUUUGAUAGAAAUAGACUUGCUUGUUCUCAUUAAGCAAAAUUCAACCAUGAACCAAACAAACCUUCAAAUUUCACACUAACAGUUAAACUUAUAUUAAAAGAAAAUUAUAAAUGAUGAAUGAAAAAAAUACAAUAUUGGAUUUACAAUUGUGAUAAUCAUAGGCCUUAAAGUAGGUCUUAAGAGAAACUUUGCAUUACCCAUCAUUGGAUGUUUGCACAUUCAGAGAAUAAUGUCUUUUAUGAUCCCAAUUUUUUCGCAAAAAACAAACAAGGGAAGCACUAAUACUUUAAAUUACAUGUCAUGUCCGUAUCAGAUAUCAAUACUCACUGGAUACUUCUUGAGUAUGUGUCCAAUAAUCGUGUUAUAUAUCUUAUUUGUCAAAAUUAGAAAAAAAACUUGGGACACUUUUCAAAUACACUUGAGAUCAAGGUUCGCCGUACCAGUACCGAUAGGCGUACCGGUCGCCUACCGGACCGGUACAGUUUCGGUUCGUACCAGUUUAAACUAGUACCGAACCGGAACACUCUUCGCCGCCGAAGCCGGAGAAGAAGAAGAGAACAAGAGAGCAAGCGGGGGAGGGAGGGAGGAGAGGUCGCUCGCGGAGGGCCACGAGGGGGCUGGCGGAGGUUGGGGGGCGGCGAAGGCCGGGGGGCGGGGGGACGGGGAAGCCCGCAGGGGUGUGGCGGAGGCCGAGGCCACGAAAAAAAUAUAGAAUUUUUAAGUGAAGUCGGCAAAUCGAAAAAAACAAGGGACGCGGCCGCGGCCUUGGCCUCCACCGGUCCCCUGCGGGCUCCCCUCCCCCCCCCACGCGGGCUCCGCCGCCCCCUCAGCCUUCGCCGACCCCUCACAGCCCUCUGUGGGCAGCGAAGACCUCUCCUUCCUCCCUCUCUUCCCCACUCUCUCUCCCCUUCUCUUCGUCUUCCCCAGCUCCGGCUGGGUUCGGCCCGUCCCAGUUUCCACGGCUCCGACGUACCGGUUACAUGCCAGACCGGUCCGAUACAGCCCGAACCGGCCAGUACAGGCCGGCUCGUCAGACCAUGCUUGAGAUACUUCUCUAAUACCCCAAAAUUUGAGGUCAAGGAAGGAUCUUUUCUUUCUACAUUUAAUGGUGAUCCUUCAACAAUAAAUGGUCAAUAUUGGAGUUUAUCAUGUUAAUGUUAAAAUAUAAGUAUGGAUUGGGUCUACGGAUUUGAACGAUCACUAAAUGGCGAGCUUGCAAAAAUCGAUGUUAUCAUAUAAUGGUAAAACCAUGGUCUGCCGUACCAGUCCGUACCGGCCGGUACGGGCCGGUACGUACCGGUCUGGCCUGGGACCGGUACCGGAUCAGCGUGAAAUCCGGUACCGACAAUUUAUUGUUGAAGAACCGGUACGGGACCGGUUCGGACCGGUACGCCACCGGUUCGGACCGAUACGGGACCGAUUUCGUACCGGUCCGGGACGCCACCGAUACGCCGACCGGUACCAGUACGGCGGACCUUGGGUAAGACUAUGCAAUUUUGAUGACUUAUAUAUGUGUAUAUAUAUGUAGAAUACGAAUGUACUCAUUGAUGCAUCUUGCUCAUAUCAUAUCCUAUAUCCAUAUCCAUGUCCAUGCUUCAUAGCUUAGUCCAUAAGCUUCUCCUACACCCCCAUCUAAAGAAAGGAUUUUUGUAUUUUAACCUAAAGCAAGCAACUAGAAAGUAUGGAUACUUAAAUAUUCAUACCAUGUUCAUAUCUAAUACGUAUUAGAUACCAAUACUUUGUCAAAUACUUCUAGGAUACAUGUCAGACCAUAUUUUAUGUAUCUUAGUUUUACUUUUUUUAAAAAAAGAUUUUGGAUACUUUUCAAAUACCCCCAAGAUACUUCCUCAAUCCCUUGAAAGGUGAGGGGCAAGGCUUUUCUUUUUUUCCUUUUAUUUUUUGAUGAAUGUUGACCUUUCAUUGAUGAAUGGUUAUUUUGGAAUUUGUAAUGUUGAUACUAUCAUAUGAAGAAUGGAUUAUGGUUUAAUGAUUUUAACGAUGAGUAAAUCUAGUUUGUAUAUAUUAGCAGCAAUGUUGUUGUAUGAAGUAUAGAAAGCUAUAUGAUAACUUAAUGUGCAUUAUAUGCAUAUUCAUUCAUUGUCAUAUCGUGGCCAUAUCAUAUCCUACUUAUUCAAUAUUUGUCAUAUUGAUGAAUUUAUAUCAUGUUGUAUUCACCUGUAUGGCUGUAUCCAUGUUUCUUUGUUUCACAAGCUAAUAUACAUAAUCUCAUAAGGAAUUCCAUACAAGUAUGUUUCAUCAAAAUCUUCAUGGACUACUUGGAUUAUUGGUUAACUAGUUUUUGUAAGAUGUCUCUUAUAAUCCACAUAUAGUUGCUACUAAAAAAACCUCAAUAGUUGACACAAAGGAAAAAAGAGAAGGAUUUUUGGCCUUGUGACCAGGUGAAUCUAUGGUAUUCAAAUCCAAAUCAUUCAUGAUUAGGGCGGUCAAUGCGCAAGUCAUAAUGGCCCAAAGACCUGAUCGGAAACAAAUUAGGCUCGAGCUCAACUUUUAUGGUUGCCAACUAGGCUCAGCUAGGGGUGUGUUCGGAUUGGGCCGGUUUAAGGAUAUUUUUGAAACUGACCUGAAUCAGUUUCUUAAAAACCAAAACCAAAACCAAAACUGAACCGAUCUCAUAGGAAAAUCGGUUCAAACCAACUCAAAAAAAAAAUCGAUUUGUUCCAUUCAGGUUAUCAGGUUGAAUAGAGCUCCGUUAAAACUCUAUUCUAUAGCUAGAAAAGAAAAUUUAUUGACCAUGAAACAAAUAUUCUCCAAUGGACCUAAGGCUUGCUGAUGGGCAAUGCUUGGAACAUGGAGACUGCCUUCAAUGGCUUGAUCACACCGCCAACAUCGAUCACCGGCCCGAUCCACUGGGCGGGCAACUAGAACGCACCAAAGAACAAAAUCCAACCCAAAUUUACAAAGAAAUGCAUCAUCAGAAAAGUCAAAAAAUCCUAACAGAUUACAUAAGAAAAAGAAAUCAACCAAUCAAACAAACAAAUUGAAUAAUCAGAGAACCAAAGGCCCAAAUCAAACAUCAUCUUUGAGCAUAUCAAGCAACAUGGUCUUCCCGACAUUAUCGAGCCUAAGGAGCAAGAUCUUGGCCUCCUACUAGAGCUCAAGUGAGGUGAGCAUGCCGUAAAACCAAUAUAUGAGGAACAUAGCUACCGGAGCCUCGAUUCACCCCCGACAAGAUCAGAUCGGUCAAGAUCUUGCUGUAAUUUGGCUGUAGGAGAUUGAAUCCAUAGGCCUCUAGCUGUGCUUCUUCCCAAAGACGAUAUAAUUCACGGACCAUUGAGGUAUAGUAGUCUUUAGGGUAGGAGGACCGGAUCAUCCGGGACAUGACAUGGGACAAGCCAAGGUGGUGUAGAAAGUCGAAUUACUAGAGGAGAAGCUCCCCAUAAUCCCAGCACCAACGAUGAUCACAUCGAACCCAUCUCCCCAGACCUCCAUCGCUCCUGCUCCUUGCUCUUUAAACCAAAGGGACAAACAGCUAAGGUAGAGGAAAGAGCACGACCAUGAAGCCAUGAGGGGCAAAAGGGGGCGGCUAGGCUUGAAAGGGGCGAGUAGGGUUUUUUUUUGAAGGAGGGACGAAUAGGGUUGAAAUGAACUAAACCACAACAUAUAAAUAUCAAGGGUUGAAAUGAACUGAGCUGCAACAUAUAAAUAUCAAGGGUUUGAUGAUUGAUGGCCAUUCAUACUUGAUCAGAGGGAUAGGAUCUAAAAGGGCUCAAGGGUGCUGGUUCCAUUGUCCCACAUGGACUAUUUACACAAAACUUCCUUUAAAACAAAAUCCUCACGAAGAAGGGCAACCCAAACAGGUUAUGCGGUUGAGCCAGGUCGGAUUGGCUUAGGUGUUUGGGCGCAAUUAGUGAUACAUCGGGUUAGAUAACUUAUUUUUAGUUGUGUAAGAUACAUACGGGUCGGUUCGAUUUAAGCCUUUUUUUUUGAAAUUUGAACCGAAAUUGAAAUUGUCUUUUUUGGUUCUAAACAAUUUCAAACCGAAACCAAACUGAAUAUGGGAAAAUCCGAUCCAAACCAAAUUGAAAAGAUCGGUUUGGGUCGAGUUUGUGGUUCAACCGAUUUUUUACACACACCUAAGCUCAACUUUUCGGGUUACAUGCCUGGCUCGAACUUGAAAAUUAAGGGCCGAUCAAUUUUCUUGCCAAGCCCGAGCUACGUAAAUGGUAAGAAAAUUUAAUGGGCCCGAUUCUAAGUCCAGCCUGGCCUAAAAGCAUAUACUGUGUCGAGUCGGGCUUGAGCCCAACACCUCCGACCCAAAAACAUAUACUAUCUUAGGCCAAGAUCGGUCUUGAGGUUCAAAUAUCAGGCUUUCUUCAGGACUAGGCUCAGCCUAACCUAACCCAUUGACACCCCUAUGCAUGAUAAAUAAACUUCAAGAAGGAGAUGGUUCGGUUCUCUAACUUCAUAAGCUAACAAAAAUUUGAAUCAACUUUAUCAAAACUUUGGCUCUUUUUUUUUUGAAGAUAGGUUGCUUGACAAAGUUCUAAAUCAUUUCAUCAAGACUUUUGGUUCCUUUUCUCACUAUUAUAAGGAUAGUUUCAUUAUCUAUGAAAGUCACAUGGUUCAUGCCAGCACCAAUCAGGAGAUCAAAUUCGUCAGAAGUUUAGAAAACUCAGAGUUCAUAGAUAAAAGGAAUCAACCGGGUUCCAAUGUUAGCUAAUCGGUCAAAAAGCUAAGUAGUCUAUGUCAAGGUAUGCUAUGCUGGUAUAGAGACCUCUACCGGUUGCCCGAUGGUGCAGUACAAUACCAUGCCAUUUCAUUUCUGGUUCGUACCAAUAUAGCCAAAUCCAAUGAGGGGGAGAGGGAGAGGGAGGGAGGGAGAAGCAGGAAGGGAGGGGGGAGGGAGAGGUAGGAAGGGAGGGAGAGAGAGGGUUGUCGAGCCCCCUCUCCUUCGGCCGCACGAAAAUAGGGGCGAAGCCCUUGUUUCAUUGAAGAGAAAAAGGGAGGGAAGUAGAGAGAGAGGAAGUAGAGAAAGGGAGAGGCCGAGAGAGGGAGAGAAAGACGGCUUUCAAGCCCCCUUUCCUCCAGCCGUGAGAUAAUAGGGGCGGUUCCUCCCUCUGUCUCUCUUUUCCUCUCCUCGCUCUCUCAUGUUUCGCCGGAUUUCACAAACCGAGAGGCAAAACCGUGCCGGUCCACACCCGGUACGACUCAGUGCACCCCAAACCACGAUUCAGGAUGGUACAACAUUCCUUGGUCUACUUGGAUUGAGGACUAAUUCUACAACUUUAGACAUCUCAUAGCCAAACCCUACAUCUCAUCAAACAAUUUAAAAGUGCCUAUCGUAUUAAUGAUAAAUAGAAUAUGCUUCCACACAAUACACCUAAUCUGUCAUGUUUGCUUUGAUCAAAUAGCCUCAGUCCUAGGAAUAUCAUGCAAGCUUCUGUCAACAAAGAACUCUUAGCCUCAGUGAGCCAAUAAACAACAAAAAGGGCAUCUUAAAUCAUUACUUAUAACACCUACAAUUCCAACUUGGACAUAGCAACUCCUGUUACAUCCAUGAUUGUUAAUUCUAGUUAUACCUAUUAAAACAUAAAUUAUACUUAAAUAAUGCUUCAACUAUGAGAAACCUUCUCUUUCAAAUUUGAUGGGGUUUUGAGGACUAUCAUGCUUUUCUCGUGGAAUAGGAUUGAACCAUCCCACCCCGUCUUGAUACUUGGGAUAGGGGAUAUCCCAGGACAUGCCGAUUGAGAUGCUAAGAUGAUGACAGGAUAGCCUCAUCUCGACACCUGGGACAGUACCCCAUCCCAAUGUCCUACAAGAUGUCCCAUUGAGAUUUAAAAUCAUAUGUAGUACUCAGAGUCACAUUGUUGAUUGUCAUGCAUGGUUAUGAUAAUAGUAGCAUGAGGAAACUAUUUAUGGGGUUUUAAUAGCAGCCAAGGUAUGUGAGCAACUAGGGUAACCCCAAACCACAUAUAUAGGCACAUAUUUGGAUAGUAUUUAGAAAUAUUAAAAAAUAAAUUAGGUUCAUAUCUUUAUACAAAGAAAGGAACUAAAACUUAGGGGAAAAAUAAAAAUAACUAUACACUUCCACACUAAUUAGACAGCCUACUACAGUUUAGCAUGGCAUGUAAAUCUUGAGAGAACAAAAGAUCAAUAUCCCCCAACAAUCUAUGCUCAAUUUUCAAGUAUACUAAUGCAACAAAAAAAAGUCUGGUAAAUAUUAGAUUAAGAAUAGAGAGGAGGCCUGAGCCAUAAAUAUAGGUUGUUUGGGCCCAUAUACGCACCUAACUAGAAAUGGCAAUGGGUUGGGUAUAGGUCAAGUAGGCUAUUACCUAUACCUGUUUGAGUGGAGCAACC
rnacentral:lncRNA from 1 species